rnacentral:lncRNA from 1 species
CAACAUCUGCAGAGCAGUUGUAAAAGUAACUCAGUUAUUUGCAGAAUGAGUGCUGCAAGAUCAAGUGAUGGCUUUAAUGUGCCACCCCUCGCAGUAUACUCUGGCAACAAGAGAAACGGCUGUUUUUAUGAAUGUUAAAGCAGUAUGAAUGAGGCUGGCAUCAUUACUGGCAGUGCAGUGGAAUACAUAUAUAUACAAGUCAUAUAUGCGCCGUUCUAAGCAUUGGUGUGGCUCUGUGGAAGAACACCAGCUCACCACGCCGAAGGCCUGGUUUCGAUUUCACCUCGGGCAUGACCUCGAGCAUGAAGGCAUACUUUACAUAAAGGACACAAACGAAGAUUAUGAGAAAAAUGUAAGUGCAGAAAAGCAGCUGUGUUAAUAAAAUG